rnacentral:rRNA from 1 species
CCUACGGGGGGCUGCAGUGGGGGAUAUUGCACAAUGGGGGAAACCCUGAUGCAGCGACGCCGCGUGUGGGAAGACGGUCCUCUGGAUUGUAAACCACUGUCCCCAGGGACGAAGAUGACGGUACCUGGGGAGGAAGCUCCGGCUAACUACGUGCCAGCAGCCGCGGUAAUACGUAGGGAGCGAGCGUUGUCCGGAAUUACUGGGUGUAAAGGGAGCGUAGGCGGGACUGCAAGUUGGGUGUCAAAUCUACCGGCUCAACCGGUAGCCGCACUCAAAACUGCAGUUCUUGAGUGAAGUAGAGGCAGGCGGAAUUCCUAGUGUAGCGGUGAAAUGCGUAGAUAUUAGGAGGAACACCAGUGGCGAAGGCGGCCUGCUGGGCUUUUACUGACGCUGAGGCUCGAAAGCGUGGGGAGCGAACAGGAUUAGAUACCCCAGUAGUC